rnacentral:rRNA from 1 species
CCUACGGGCGGCAGCAGUGGGGAAUAUUGGGCAAUGGGCGCAAGCCUGACCCAGCAAUGCCGCGUGAAGGAAGAAGGCUUUCGGGUUGUAAACUUCUUUGACAGGGGAAGAGCAGAAGACGGUACCCUGAAAACAAGCCACGGCUAACUACGUGCCAGCAGCCGCGGUAAUACGUAGGUGGCAAGCGUUGUCCGGAUUUACUGGGUGUAAAGGGCGUGUAGCCGGGAAGGCAAGUCAGAUGUGAAAUCUGGAGGCUCAACCUCCAAAUUGCAUUUGAAACUGUUUUUCUUGAGUACUGGAGAGGCAGACGGAAUUCCUUGUGUAGCGGUGAAAUGCGUAGAUAUCAGGAGGAACACCGGCGGCGAAGGCGGCCUGCUGGACCGCGACUGACGUUGAGGCUCGAAAGCGUGGGGAGCGAACAGGAUUAGAUACCCCGGUAGUC